rnacentral:misc_RNA from 1 species
GUGAGUCAUCGAAUCUUUGAACGCAACUUGCGCCCUCUGGCAUUCCAGAGGGCAUGCCUGUUUGAGUGUCAUGUAGACUCAAUCCCUCAGGUUUCUGAGGAGGUUGGAUUUGGGUGUCUGCCUCUUCUGGCUCACCUUAAAGGACUUAGCGGGAUAGCACCGUAGUCGACGUAAUAAGUUUCGUCGGUAAAAGUGUGAUGUCUGCUCAUAAUCGCCCCUGGGCACUUUUGACUCUGACCUCAAAUCAGGUAGGACUACCCGCUGAACUUAAGCAUAUCAAUAAGCGGAGGA